GAUGAAGAACGUAGCGAAAUGCGAAACUUGGUGUGAAUUGCAGAAUCCCGUGAACCAUCGAGUCUUUGAACGCAAGUUGCGCCCGAAGCCACUAGGCCGAGGGCACGCCUGCCUGGGCGUCACACGCCGUUGCCCCCCCAUCUACUCCUUCGGGAUUGCGGGGGGGCGGAUGAUGGCCUCCCGUGCGCCUAGCCGCGCGGUUGGCAUAAAUACCAAGUCCUCGGCGACGCACGCCACGACAAUCGGUGGUUGCGAAACCUCGGUUGCCCGUCGUGUGCGUUCGUCGCGCAUCGAGGGCUCGAAAAAAUGCUCGGCUCCGGCUGGGCUUUCAACGCGACCCCAGGUCAGGCGGGGUUACCCGCUGAAUUUAAGCAUAUCAAUAAGCGGAGGA
rnacentral:misc_RNA from 1 species